UCACAGUGCAGCUUACUGCCAAUGGACAAGAUGCUCUCGGAGCUAACGCUACGACUGCCGGCAGUGUUACUAUGUUCUUACUGUAGCCUAAUGGCCGAGGUGGUCUUUGUAGAUUUUACGUGCCAACCAAGCUUUUGUCUCUUCAACUAGCGACUGCAUGGCAGUAACCUUUACAUUCAAGAUAAAGAUGGAUAUACUCCGUUGGAUCUGGUAAUGAAAGACAGACCUCCCCACAUUGUUUUCAAAACUAGUGAUGGUACUUUGCAAAUUUCAUUCAGUCUUCCUGUCUCAGAAAGGACAAGUUUACACAUGCGGACAUGGACAAGGAGGUCGUCUUGG